rnacentral:rRNA from 1 species
UACAGAGGGGGCAAGCGUUGUUCGGAAUUACUGGGCGUAAAGGGCGCGUAGGCGGCCUGCUAAGUCACACGUGAAAUCCCUCGGCUCAACCGGGGAACUGCGUGUGAUACUGGCGGGCUUGAAUUCGGGAGAGGGAUGUGGAAUUCCAGGUGUAGCGGUGAAAUGCGUAGAUAUCUGGAGGAACACCGGUGGCGAAGGCGGCAUCCUGGACCGAGAUUGACGCUGAGGCGCGAAAGCUAGGGGAGCAAACGGG